UACGGGGGGAGCAAGCGUUGUUCGGAUUUACUGGGCGUAAAGGGCGCGUAGGCGGCCAGCACAAGUCAGUUGUGAAAUCUCCGAGCUUAACUCGGAAAGGUCAACUGAUACUGUGCGGCUAGAGUGCAGAAGGGGCAACUGGAAUUCUUGGUGUAGCGGUGAAAUGCGUAGAUAUCAAGAGGAACACCUGCGGCGAAGGCGGGUUGCUGGACUGACACUGACGCUGAGGCGCGAAAGCGUGGGGAGCGAACAGG
rnacentral:rRNA from 1 species